rnacentral:rRNA from 1 species
CGGGUGAGUAACACGUAUCCAACCUGCCGUCUACUCUUGGACAGCCUUCUGAAAGGAAGAUUAAUACAAGAUGGCAUCAUGAGUUCACAUGUUCACAUGAUUAAAGGUAUUCCGGUAGACGAUGGGGAUGCGUUCCAUUAGAUAGUAGGCGGGGUAACGGCCCACCUAGUCUUCGAUGGAUAGGGGUUCUGAGAGGAAGGUCCCCCACAUUGGAACUGAGACACGGUCCAG